rnacentral:rRNA from 1 species
GAUGAACGCUAGCGGCAGGCCUAAUACAUGCAAGUCGAACGGUGUCUUCGGACAUAGUGGCGCACGGGUGCGUAACACGUAUGCAACCUACCUUACAUUGGGGGAUAGCCUUUCGAAAGGGAGAUUAAUACCGCAUAAGACAGUAGCUGGGCAUCCAGCAGCUGUUAAAGAUUUAUCGAUGUAAGCUGGGCAUGCGUCCAAUUAGCUAGUUGGUGAGGUAACGGCUCACAAAGGCAAUGAUUGGUAGGGGAACUGAGAGGUCAAUCCCCCACACGGGCACUGAGAGACGGGCCAGAAUCCUACGGGAGGCAGCAGUAGGGAAUAUUGGGCAAUGGACGCAAGUCUGACCCAGCCAUGCCGCGUGAAGGAUGAAGGCGUUAUGCGUUGUAAACUGCUUUUAUACAGGAAGAAACGACUCUUGCGAGAGGCAUUGACGGUACUGUAUGAAUAAGCACCGGCUAACUCCGUGCCAGCAGCCGCCGUAAAAC